rnacentral:misc_RNA from 1 species
AAAGUCGUAACAAGGUUUCCGUAGGUGAACCUGCGGAAGGAUCAUUACAGAAUAAACUUGAUAAAUUGUUGCUGGCUCUCUCUUGGGAGCAUGUGCACAUUUGUCACUUUUAUAUUUCCACCUGUGCACCCUUUGUAGUUCUGGGUUACACUCUAUGGUCAGAGCUUUUUCCGGCUUUUGGCUGUGUUUCGGAGGAUUGCUGUGCUAUAACAGUCAGCUUUCCUUCACAUUUCCCAGUUCUAUGUUUUACAUAUACACCAUGUAUGUCAAAGAAUGUCAUUUUGGGACGUAGAAAGCCCUAUAUAAACAAUAUACAACUUUCAGCAACGGAUCUCUUGGUUCUC